AUGAACGCUGGCGGCGUGCCUCAUACAUGCAAGUCGCGCGAACAGACGAGGAGCUUGCUCCUCUGACGUUAGCGGCGGACGGGUGAGUAACACGUGGAUAACCUACCUAUAAGACUGGGAUAACUUCGGGAAACCGGAGCUAAUACCGGAUAAUAUAUUGAACCGCAUGGUUCAAUAGUGAAAGACGGUUUUGCUGUCACUUAUAGAUGGAUCCGCGCCGCAUUAGCUAGUUGGUAAGGUAACGGCUUACCAAGGCGACGAUGCGUAACCGACCUGAGAGGGUGAUCGGCCACACUGGAACUGAGACACGGUCCAGACUCCUACGGGAGGCAGCAGUAGGGAAUCUUCCGCAAUGGGCGAAAGCCUGACGGAGCAACGCCGCGUGAGUGAUGAAGGUCUUCGGAUCGUAAAACUCUGUUAUUAGGGAAGAACAAAUGUGUAAGUAACUAUGCACGUCUUGACGGUACCUAAUCAGAAAGCCACGGCUAACUACGUG
rnacentral:rRNA from 1 species